rnacentral:tRNA from 1 species
GGUGGGUGAACCAGACGGUUAGGUACCGGUCUGCAAAACCGUUUAAAUGAGUUCGACUCUCAUACCCACCU